ACAUUGGUAAAACAGCUUGGUCAAACCAGGUCCUAUGAAGCAAGCAUUUAUAAAUAUGCUGAUUUGUAAAUGUGAUUUCACAGAACACACAGUGGGACCAAAAGGCUUUACUGAGGUCAGGUCUUAUCUGUGCUUUACUAGAAAAAGUAAAAUAUGCAUAAUCAUAAAUCCUAUCCCACUACACUUAAUAAUGUCUUUACAAUUUUCAGUGUUUUGUGUUGUACUCAUGUUUAUUCCGUUUCUGUUUAAUAGUUGGAGUAACACACAGAAAUGAAUGCAAAUAUUAUAUCUUGAAAAAUUUCACUUUAAUGUGAGCAUCCAACAGU